rnacentral:rRNA from 1 species
GAUGAACGCUGGCGGAAUGCUUUACACAUGCAAGUCGAACGAUGAACCUUAGCUUGCUAAGGGGAUUAGUGGCGAACGGGUGAGUAAUGUAUCGGAACGUAUCCAAUAAUGGGGGAUAACUAGUCGAAAGAUUAGCUAAUACCGCAUACGUCCUACGGGAGAAAGCUAGGGACCUUCGGGCCUGGCGUUAAUGGAGCGGCCGAUAUCUGAUUAGCUAGUUGGUGGGGUAAAGGCUCACCAAGGCGACGAUCAGUAGCUGGUCUGAGAGGACGACCAGCCAAACUGGAACUGAGACACGGUCCAGACUCCUACGGGAGGCAGCAGUGGGGAAUUUUGGACAAUGGGCGAAAGCCUGAUCCAGCCAUUCCGCGUGAGUGAAGAAGGCCUUCGGGUUGUAAAGCUCUUUCGCAAGAGAAGAAAACUUAAGCUCUAACAUAGCUUGAGGUUGACGGUACCUUGAUAAGAAGCACCGGCUAACUACGUGCCAGCAGCCGCGGUAA